AGCGAACGCUGGCGGCAGGCCUAACACAUGCAAGUCGAACGAACCCUUCGGGGUUAGUGGCGGACGGGUGAGUAACACGUGGGAACGUGCCUUUAGGUUCGGAAUAACUCAGGGAAACUUGUGCUAAUACCGAAUGUGCCCUUCGGGGGAAAGAUUUAUCCACUUUAGAGCGGCCCGCGUCGGAUUAGCUAGUUGGUGAGGUAAUGGCUCACCAAGGCUACGAUCAGUAGCUGGUCUGAGAGGAUGACCAGCCACAUUGGGACUGAGACACGGCCCAAACUCCUACGGGAGGCAGCAGUGGGGAAUCUUGCGCAAUGGGCGAAAGCCUGACGCAGCCAUGCCGCGUGGAUGAUGAAGGUCUUAGGAUUGUAAAAUCCUUUCACCGGUGAAGAUAAUGACUGUAGCCGGAGAAGAAGCCCCGGCUAACCUCGUGCCAGCAGCCGCCGUAAAAC
rnacentral:rRNA from 1 species